GUUUUCAUCAGCGUAUCUGUUGGAGAGAAGGUGACUCUGCCCUGCUGCGCCCGCACUGACGAGGGCACUGACGGGAAUGCUGUCCUGAUUUGGUGGGAAAAAGGUGGAAAACCUGUCGUGAAGGUUCGGCAGAGGAAACUUUCCUAUGGCUCAGAGAGCAUCGGUUUCAGCAAGCAGAUAUACAGAUGGUGAUCUGUCCCUUAACGUCUCCAUGUUCGGGUCAUCUGAUGAGGGAGUAUACCUCUGUUACCAUGGAAACAAAGCCCAGGGUCACCCUGAAACUGUAGUCCUCAAAGGUACUUGAAGACAUUAUUCCUUUUUGUAAGGCUAACAGAAGUGGCCAUGCACUUUCACUGUCCAUGAUCUGCGCUUUUCAGUGGUUUCAUCUUUCUGAUGGCAUUUUCCUCAACACUGGAACAAACAGUUGGCUCAUCUCCUUUACUGGCCGUCUUUGUUGCUGUCUUCUCCUGGGCAUGGCGAUGAAGGAGGGCAAAGAGGCAGAGGACUGAUGUUAACCUAUUAAUCAGGGCUGCACGAUAUUGACAUAAAUUGCGAUGCUCGAUAAAGCUGUUGGAUGUCAUGAUGACGAUAUGAGAAGCGAUAAAUUCUUAUUAAAAGUGCACCUCUGACUGGAUGUGAUGCAAAUACAGCCUUUUUUUGGAUGUGUAAACAGAAAUCUGACUAACUCUCCUUUAAGCAAAGAGCGAAAUACUAAAUUAGAAAAGCACCGUUCACUAUUGUGCAAAGUGAAAAGAACUGAAAUACUGCUUACAUCAGAACUGCACAUUUUUUAUGCACUGAAAAGUUGCGCACCCCUGAUCUAUCCAUAGUGCUCAGAAGGAGAGCUCUGUUAUUGAGGGCAGCACGAGGAACGGUGUAGAAGUCACUUUGUACUGUUGGACCAUUGCAGAUGUCAUUAAGCGUCUGAUUAUAGUCUUGGUGACGUUAUUGACCCCAAAAUCCCACCACCAUCUCCUCCUCACUGUGGGGAGUCCUCUUCCAGCCAGGUUCCCUACGGCUCCGGUUGUUUAAAACAGACUGAUUUCUAUAAGUCAACACUUCUGUCGAAUUGUUUCUGUUUUUGUGGCCUUCAGUCAAAGUUUAGAUAUUAUUAACUAUUAUAAAAUAUACAAACUUCUAUUUUAUAUUUAUACCAAGAUGCCUAUAAUUAUGGAGUUGACUGCAUAUAUUGUGUGUACUAGUCUGUAAACCAAUCAAAAUCACCCUCACAACAGGAAUCAGUAACUGUUUAAGCAUAAUUUGUCUAGUUUAAAUAUAUGUGCAUAUGUAUAAAUGUAUAAUAUUUGUGAUAUUUUUGUAGAUUGUAUUGUCCAAGCUUGUGUUGGCGAGGAGAAACAUUUGGGUUCAAGACGUCAGGACCAUCACAACAACGUCUACAUGCUGUCUU